AGUGAACGCUGGCGGCGUGCCUAAUACAUGCAAGUCGAACGGAGUGGCGCGCGGGUGGGUAAUGUAUAGCUAAUCUGCCCUGCACUAGAGGACAACAGUUGGGAACAACUGCUAAUACUCUAUAGUGUAGGCUGAGGCGAUAUUGUAUCAGCUAGUUGGUGAGGUAAUGGCUCACCAAGGCUAUGACGCAUCACUGGCCUGGGAGGACGAGCAGUCAAACUGGAACUGAGACAGGGGCCAGACUCCUACGGGAGGCAGCAGUAGGGAAGAUGGCUCAAGGGGCGAAACUGUGAAGGAGUAACGCAGCGUGGAGGAUGACAGUUAUAGGAGAGCAAACUCGUUUUGAUAGGGAAGCGGUACCUAACGAAUAAGCACCGGCUAACUCCGUGCCAGCAGCCGCGGUAAUUC
rnacentral:rRNA from 1 species